UUGUGGAGGAGGACGCCGAAGGUGGGGCUAAUGACUGGGGUGAAGUCGUAACAAGGUAGCCGUACCGGAAGGUGCGGCUGGAUCACCUCCUAACAGGGAGACAACAAAAUGUUUAAUAUUAUUAUUUUGUCACCUUAGGUCGAUCGGUAUCUCACGUUUUUAAUUUAUUAAGAAUUUCAUUUCCUAAGUUUUUCUAGGUCACACCCAUUAUUUUUCCUGGGCCAUUAGCUCAGGUGGUUAGAGCGCACCCCUGAUAAGGGUGAGGUCCCUGGUUCAAGUCCAGGAUGGCCCAUAUCUCUAUGUUGGGGGUAUAGCUCAGUUGGUAGAGCGCCUGCUUUGCAAGCAGGAUGUCAGCGGUUCGAGUCCGCUUACCUCCACUGAUUACCACCUCUUCCAUAACCGAUAAAAAGGAAACGUUUUGAGUUGUGAUCAAAUUCUGAAAGAAUCUAGCUUCCUAAUGAAAUCAUUAAGAUGCUGGACUCACUGAAUUAUUUUCAUUGUUUUCAGAGAACCUUGACAACUGCAUAGAUUAUUUUUAAAGACAAUAAGCAUCUUUUAAUGAUGCAGAUUUAUUAUUUGUGCUAAUGCAUUAAUAACAAUUCCAUUAAGCUGAUGCUUCAAUUUUUGAAGUUAUUGGUCAAGCUACAA
rnacentral:misc_RNA from 1 species